UUAGGCAUUGUGGUGUUCGGGCGGGCUCGCGGGAUUGCCGCUCCACUCGAAGUCCAGCAUUGAGUAUGGUUUCUGGAUUUGGCCCAGAGAGGGUGAAAGGCCCGUGCGGGUGGAGUUUCAGACAUGAUUGGCAAUUCACUAGGUCCGUCCUAGAGUCGGGUUGUUUGGGAAUGCAGCCCAAAGCGGGUGGUAAACUCCAUCCAAGGCUAAAUACUAGCACGAGUCCGAUAGCGAACAAGUACCGUGAGGGAAAGUUGAAAAGUACUUUGAAGAGAGAGUAAACAGUACGUGAAACCGCAUGAAGGUAAACGGGUGGCGUCAAGCUGCAAGCCUAGAGGAUUCAGUUGGUCAGGAUGUUGUGUAUGCUCCUAGCGCAUCUAUCAGUCGGUAUAGUUCAAACAGUCUGGCUGUGAAAGACAGACCUAGUCGCAAGAUUGGGAUUUGCAGUCCGUUUGGUUGGCGGAGCAAACUGUUUGGCUGUGGACUGCCUGGCCGAUGCACUUUCUCUAUGGUGAACACCACGACCGGUGGUACUGCCAGUCUGCUUUGGUCAAGUCCUUGUUAACUGGUACUUGUUGCCAGCUAGCCUGGAUCACAUGCAAUUUCAGUGUACGGUGUUCGAGCAUUUCGGUGUCCGAGCAUGUUAUCGGAAACUGGUUGUAAACGGGCUGUGUGAAAUGGUUGUGAAACUUUUCGUACGGUCUGGUGGACCUUUGUGGUAUGAAUAACUGUGCAGGGCACUGGUGUUAUCGGUCUCUGAAUCUGGCUGUUGCACACUUUACAAGUGGCGAGUGCAGGCGUCGUUCGCGUUUGCCUAUGCUUCGAUCUGAUUGUCGUGUCGCCUGCGAAAAGU
rnacentral:rRNA from 1 species